rnacentral:rRNA from 1 species
UACGUAGGGUGCAAGCGUUGUCCGGAAUUAUUGGGCGUAAAGAGCUCGGUAGGCGGUUUGUCGCGUCGGCUGUGAAAACUCGGGGCUCAACCCCGAGCCUGCAGUCGAUACGGGCAAACUAGAGUGUGGUAGGGGAGACUGGAAUUUCCUGGUGUAGCGGUGAAAUGCGCAGAUAUCAGGAGGAACACCGGCGGCGAAGGCGGGUCUCUGGGCCAUGAACUGACGCUGAGGAGCGAAAGCGUGGGGAGCGAACAGG